AUCAUACGCUGAUGCGUUUAGGAUUUCAUUUCACAGUCUCUUUCAUUCGGUCCAACUAGACUGAGCAUGAUCUGAGCUCUGGUUCAGUGUAAUGAGUUUCUGUUCGAUUAUUUAAGCAAGCGUAGACUGUAAUAGUCUAGUAAAAUUAUUUAAAGUUUCAGCGCAAUGUGUUUUUGUUCAAAGGUUUCUUACGUAACGCGAAUUAAAAGUUGUAAAAACAAAAAUAUAUCAUGAUGAUAGAAAAAAGGAAACACUGACGAUUUUAUACGACGUAUUUUUAUCAUGUUAUUUAUUUUUUGCUCAAUCAGGAUCUCCCGUAACAUAUGUCUAUCAUCGUUGAAACUGUCUAUCGCCACAUAUUCUACCAAGGCUACAUCAAGCGUAAAGAAAUUAUCCCGUACACAGAAAUACCGAUGUUUAUUAGACACAAAAAAUGUCAAAAAUCAGAAGAUAUCAUCUAACUUUGUUACAUCGUUUGACCACCAAAAGUCUACCCAAUGUGUAAAUAUAACAAACAAUGAAAAGCAAAAAAAUUUAUAUAUGCAAAAUGAACAAGAAUGGCAGUGUAUAAAAUUAGACUCCGGCAAACUUCGAAAACAUUGUUUCAUGUUAUCUAAGAUACGGUUAACAUCUUUGGUAGUUGUAACAACCAUGGCUGGAUAUGCAUUAGCACCAGGGCCUUUCGAUGCUUUUACAUUUGUUGCAUGUUCUAUGGGUACUGGAUUAAUGUCUGCAACAGCAAACGCUAUCAAUCAAUGUUUUGAAGUUCCUUUUGAUGCGCAGAUGUCAAGAACAAAGAAUAGAGUAUUGGUUAGAGGUUACUUAACACCUGGCCAUGCAGUAAUGUUUGCAACAAUAUCUGGCUUCAGUGGAUUAUUAUUAUUAUAUACCGAAGUUAAUGGAUUAACAGCUACUUUAGGUGCAGCUAAUCUGCUUCUGUACACUCUUAUUUACACUCCUAUGAAACGCAUUAGUAUUCUAAAUACUUGGGUGGGUUCCAUAGUUGGAGCCAUACCACCAUUAAUGGGUUGGGCAUCUUGUGUCGGCAAUAUAAUAUCUCCAGGUGCUUGGAUAAUGUCUGGUCUAUUAUAUGCAUGGCAGUUUCCUCAUUUCAAUGCUUUAUCAUGGAAUUUGAGGCCGGAUUAUUCGCGUGCAGGUUAUAGAAUGAUGGCAGUCACAAAUCCAAAGCUUUGUCGUAAAACAGCAUUACGUUAUACCGCUGCAUUAAUGGGUCUUUGUUAUUUAGCACCAGUUUGUGAUGUAACAAACUGUUGGUUUGCCUUGUUAUCGACACCACUUAACGCAUAUUUUCUUUACCUUGCUUGGGAAUUUCACAAACACUCUGAUAGUAGAAGUUCACGCAAACUGUUUCAUUUUUCAUUGAUUCAUUUACCUGUUCUUAUAGUUCUUAUGCUUAUAAAUAAGAAAAAGUGGUAUAAUGAUGACAAUAGACAGAGAAAUACGAUACUUUCCGAAGAAAAAAGCGACGCAGUUUUAAUGAAAACGAUUGCAUCGAUAUUUUCGAGCACUUAAUAAACUACCUUAAAAUUUAUGUCGUGAUACUAUAGGAAUCAUAAUAAACUUUUUAGUUAAAUUUCUGUGUCCGGCACAAUCCAGGUUUUCCGUGAAACAUUUGUUUCUACAGCACUGUCGGCAUAAUUUAUGAACACAUUUGAGACUCUACGGGAGAAAAUGUAACGGCGAGAUUAAUAAAUUUUAUUCGGAUUGAUAACAAAAGAUUAUGUUUAAAAUGAAGUUUUGCAAACCACUGGAUUUGGACAAUCGCAACACAAAUCAGAUCCUCUUUUCACGAUGAUAGCUGGUCUGUUGGGGCGACGCGCUAUUCGUUUGAGCUUCUUCAAGCGUUUUCGUGAUAUCUCAUUUCCUUCUUCGUCUCUGAAUUUUCUUUUGACCGUUUCAUUUUGCUACAAAAAUUGAAUAUCGAAAUAAAAAAACAAUUAUAUCAUAUGAUAAGGGAAAGGAAGAAAAGAAUAGGGAUAGGGACACAGAUAGAAAUAGGAGUAGAAAUAGAAAUAGAAGUAGGGAUAGGAAAAGGAAAUUGUUUGCAGUAGAAUAGUGGAAACCAACCGUUUCAAUCCUUUCAAUUUCUAGCUUUUGUACAUUCUCCUCUGGAAGAUGACGUAUAUAUGGUUGGCACAACCAGGGAGGUAGUUUUAAGUUAUGAUCUGAAAUAUAGAAUGCAAGUAAGUAACAACGGUCAUACUUUGGUGGUACAUAACGAUAGUAUAAUUAAAAAUACAAAGGGAAAGUGUAUACACAGCCAGAAGGAAAGUGGAUGUAUGUAUGUCAUGCGAAUGAAAAAUGAAGUAUAUAAUGGAUUAUAAUAUAAUCGAAUAUAAUGGUAGAGCCUACGAACCGGACAUUUUUUCCUGCCAGAUUAAACGACCUUCGUGAUAAGGCAGAUACCGAUCCCUCAAAGCGUAUACGACGUUUCUGAAGGAUUCCAUGGUAGAGUUUCGGGCCAAAUUUUCUCUCUCUUCUUUAUUUUCUGCUAAACAAAGUCUACUCUCUUGUUAAAAGAACGCUGAAUGCAUAGGUCGAUAAUUUUGAAAAUUAUUUAUAUAAUGUACAUAGAGAUUGAAAAUAAACGGAAGCUACAAAUAAUUGAUUUUUCAUACGUACGUGUGUUGGAACAAUUUAAAAAGAUGACCACGAAUGUAAGAAGGAGGGGCUGGAUAACGUUCCACCAAAUCUAAAUAUUCAAGCGCUGGCUCCCAACUAGGUGGAUAACGAGCUUCGAAUAUGUACGGAUUGUAAAGGUUGCCCUCUGCUGACAUUACACCGUCAACACCGGUUUCCUCUAUACAUCUUUCGAUAUCUUGCAGACACUGUAUGUUACCAUUCGCAAAUACUGGAAUUGUGACGGCCUGUCUGAACGUUUGAAAUAACAAGAAAUUGCAACUUACUGGAAGAUAUACGCCAAAUGAAGAUACGAAGAGGAAUUGUUAAUCAUACCUGACGGCUUUGAUGUGAUCCCAAGACGCGAUACCGGUUAACGGACCUUUUUGUUCCCGAGUUCGUCCGUGCACGGUAAGUAAUCGUGCCCCAGCGGUCUCGAGCAUUUGCGCGUACUUAACAGUUUUAUCGAUCUCCGCAAAUACACGAAGCUUACAAGUAACUGGCACACGGAGACUUUUGCUCAAAGUACUUACUGUAAUAUUUCGUAAGGGGAAAAUAAAUUAGAGAUGUAACGUUA